rnacentral:rRNA from 1 species
UACGUAGGGUGCAAGCGUUGUCCGGAAUUAUUGGGCGUAAAGAGCUCGUAGGCGGUUUGUCGCGUCUGCUGUGAAGACUCGGGGCUUAACCCCGGGCUUGCAGUUGAUACGGGCAGGCUAGAGUUCGGUAGGGGAGACUGGAAUUCCUGGUGUAGCGGUGAAAUGCGCAGAUAUCAGGAGGAACACCGGUGGCGAAGGCGGGUCUCUGGGCCGAUACUGACGCUGAGGAGCGAAAGCGUGGGGAGCGAACAGG